rnacentral:tRNA from 1 species
GCGGGCGUGGCGGAAUUGGCAGACGCGCUAGACUUAGGAUCUAGUGCCCGAGGCGUGAAGGUUCGAGUCCUUUCGCCCGCACCA